AUUGAACGCUGGCGGCAGGCCUAACACAUGCAAGUCGGACGGGAUUGUGGAGCUUGCUCUUCAUGAGAGUGGCGCACGGGUGCGUAACACGUAUGUAACCUACCUUGUUCAGGGGGAUAGCCUCUCGAAAGAGAGAUUAAGACCGCAUAACAUAUUGAAGUGGCAUCACUUUAUUAUCAAAUAUUUAUAGGAACAAGAUGGGCAUGCGGAACAUUAGCUAGUUGGUGAGGUAACGGCUCACCAAGGCGACGAUGUUUAGGGGAUCUGAGAGGAUGGCCCCCCACACUGGUACUGAGACACGGACCAGACUCCUACGGGAGGCAGCAGUAAGGAAUAUUGGUCAAUGGACGGAAGUCUGAACCAGCCAUGCCGCGUGCAGGAAGACGGCCCUAUGGGUUGUAAACUGCUUUUGCAGGGGAAUAAACCUCUCUACGUGUAGAGAGCUGAAUGUACUCUGAGAAUAAGGAUCGGCUAACUCCGUGCCAGCAGCCGCCGUAA
rnacentral:rRNA from 1 species